GGAGGCGUCGCAUAGUGGUCUAGUGCACCGUCUUGGAAAGGCGGCAGGGCGAAAGCCCUCGAGAGUUCGAAUCUCUCCGCCUCCGCCC
rnacentral:tRNA from 1 species